rnacentral:rRNA from 1 species
GAUGAACGCUGGCGGCGUGCCUAAUACAUGCAAGUCGAGCGAACAGAUAAGGAGCUUGCUCCUGUGACGUUAGCGGCGGACGGGUGAGUAACACGUGGGUAACCUACCUAUAAGACUGGAAUAACUCCGGGAAACCGGGGCUAAUGCCGGAUAACAUUUAGAACCGCAUGGUUCUAAAGUGAAAGAUGGUUUUGCUAUCACUUAUAGAUGGACCCGCGCCGUAUUAGCUAGUUGGUAAGGUAACGGCUUACCAAGGCAACGAUACGUAGCCGACCUGAGAGGGUGAUCGGCCACACUGGAACUGAGACACGGUCCAGACUCCUACGGGAGGCAGCAGUAGGGAAUCUUCCGCAAUGGGCGAAAGCCUGACGGAGCAACGCCGCGUGAGUGAUGAAGGUCUUCGGAUCGUAAAACUCUGUUAUUAGGGAAGAACAAAUGUGUAAGUAACUGUGCACGUCUUGACGGUACCUAAUCAGAAAGCCACGGCUAACUACGUG